rnacentral:lncRNA from 1 species
CCCCUCGAGCCCCAGGCGGCUCCGCGCAGCACCAAGCCUGCGGGGGCUCCUCUCCCUCUCCCUCUCCCUCGCCCCCGCUCCCCUCGCCCCACUCUGUCUUCUUAUCUUUCUCGUAUAAAUAAACAGAAUCUUUAAAAAGAGAAGACGAGGAGUAGCCCUGGGGUGGGGGGGGGCUGUGCCCUGGGCCCAGGACGCAGGAGCCCAGGCCCGCGCUGCGGGGGGCCCAGGUGCUCCGCAGCAGGUGUACAGGUGUCGGGGCGCCCGAGGACUUCCUGCCGCUCGCCUGCCUCCGGCCCUUCUCUGGCCUUCUCUCCUCUCGCUCUCCGGUAGUUCUGUGGGAUGUCCAGCCAUCAUCCCGCCCCGCAGGUGUGUGCCACUCAUCACAUGGAGACGACUCACCUGAUGUUCACUGCCCUCGUCUUGAGAGGAUAAGACAGAUACCAAACCUCUCGGGAAGGAAAAUCUGUCUCGUUGGAGCUCCCAGACCGUUGCCACCUGCCUGCUGGCCUGGGCCCUGAGAGUCCUCUAUCAGUUCAUCUCUUCCGUACUUUGGGUGGAUAGGUAAAAGAUUAUUAUGAAAUAUAUUAUUUUGGCACAAGUUUAAGUGAGGCCUUGGAGAACAGGAUGUGGUCUACCGUGCGUGAAGCCGGCUUCGAGGCUAACUCGGGGAAACACGGCACGUCCCUUCACUUGGGGCUUGAUGGGUGUUAACAUGUGUCCAAGCUCUCACCUUCUUCUAAUGAUUCUUUUUUUUUUUUUUUUGUAAGCUUCCCACCUGAAGAGAGCCACCAAAUCUAGGGCAUGUGAUUUUAAUCACAGCCCCAAAUUAUUUUAGGACAGUGUUGUUAUAAUUAAUAUUCAAAAGUUCUUAGAGAUAUUUAGAUGAAAACUCAAAAGGAAAAAUGAUCAUGGCUUAGAAAAUUCAAUGAGUAAUUAAUUGCAGAUGACUGAGGCUCUUCCUCCUGCUUCAGGAAUAGGACAAGCCAUAAAAGCGGCUCACGCAGUCUUCCUGGCAGGCCUGAAAGAGCCGAAGGAAAUUUCUGAUGUGAUUUCGCACGCUUAGUUUUCUACCCUUGUUAAUUAUUGUGAAACGGAAUCUGUUUAAUAUCAAACAGUACUUCUAACCUCAUUUGUAAUUCUAAAUAGUCUAAUAACAUCCUUUAUCAACAGUAUCAACUCACCACAAAUUUCAUUUCACGCAGAAGUCGGUCCUGCUCCAUCGUUCCUCCCUCCUCGGUUCUGUUUCUUUAUUGCACCUGUAUGAUUUCUCUUACACAAGAAUCCUUUAAAAAUAAAUAAAUAAAUAUAAAAGGAAUUCA